GAUGAACGCUGGCGGCGUGCCUAAUACAUGCAAGUCGAGCGAACAGACGAGGAGCUUGCUCCUCUGACGUUAGCGGCGGACGGGUGAGUAACACGUGGAUAACCUACCUAUAAGACUGGGAUAACUUCGGGAAACCGGAGCUAAUACCGGAUAAUAUAUUGAACCGCAUGGCUCAAUAGUGAAAGACGGUUUUGCUGUCACUUAUAGAUGGAUCCGCGCCGCAUUAGCUAGUUGGUAAGGUAACGGCUUACCAAGGCAACGAUGCGUAGCCGCCCUGAGAGGGUGAUCGGCCACACUGGAACUGAGACACGGUCCAGACUCCUACGGGAGGCAGCAGUAGGGAAUCUUCCGCAAUGGGCGAAAGCCUGACGGAGCAACGCCGCGUGAGUGAUGAAGGUCUUCGGAUCGUAAAACUCUGUUAUUAGGGAAGAACAAAUGUGUAAGUAACUAUGCACGUCUUGACGGUACCUAAUCAGAAAGCCACGGCUAACUACGUG
rnacentral:rRNA from 1 species